rnacentral:lncRNA from 1 species
CGUGAACGGCGAACGGCCCAAGAGUUCGAUCAUGAUCAUGGGCCACGGUCGCAUCAUGGAUUCCUAGCCAACAGAAUCCUGGAGUGUUUCACGAUUGAAAUGGCCUAGUGCGUAUAGCCUUAGCUAAUGGGCUCAAGUGGGGCCACGUACAAACAAAAGAGCCAGAGGCCCAAAUAACGGUUAGUCAGUCAACUCAGUAUCUUUCUCCUACGGACUACCUUGCUCAGAGAUCAAUGUUGUCUCCUGUCUCCCUUUGCGUGUAUAUAGACGUGUACUUAUUUGUGUGUGUGAUGUAAGUGUAGAGUAUGUGGAUUAUGUACGUCUAAGUUUAUUCGAUAAAAAAAGUUAAGUCUAAUUUUCUAGUCCCAC